CAGCAGCCGCGGUAAUACGGAGGGGGCUAGCGUUGUUCGGAAUUACUGGGCGUAAAGCGCACGUAGGCGGCUUGGUAAGUUAGAGGUGAAAGCCCGGAGCUCAACUCCGGAAUUGCCUUUAAGACUGCCGAGCUAGCAGGUGAGAGAGGUAAGUGGAAUUCCGAGUGUAGAGGUGAAAUUCGUAGAGAUCUGGAGGAAUACCGAUGGCGAAGGCAGCCAUCUGGCCUAAUACUGACGCUGAGGUACGAAAGCAUGGGGAGCAAACAGGAUUAGAUACCCCCGUAGUCCCUGUCUCUUAUAC
rnacentral:rRNA from 1 species